UAGUCCACGCUGUAAACGAUGUCUACUUGGAGGUUGUUGUCUUGAAUGAUGGCUUUCGGAGCUAACGCGUUAAGUAGACCGCCUGGGGAGUACGGCCGCAAGGUUAAAACUCAAAUGAAUUGACGGGGGCCCGCACAAGCGGUGGAGCAUGUGGUUUAAUUCGAUGCAACGCGAAGAACCUUACCUACUCUUGACAUCUACAGAAGCCAGCGGAGACGCAGGUGUGCCUUCGGGAACUGUAAGACAGGUGCUGCAUGGCUGUCGUCAGCUCGUGUUGUGAAAUGUUGGGUUAAGUCCCGUAACGAGCGCAACCCUUGUCCCUAUUUGCCAGCACUUCGGGUGGGAACUCUAGGGAGACUGCCGGUGACAAACCGGAGGAAGGUGGGGACGACGUCAAGUCAUCAUGGCCCUUACGACUUGGGCUACACACGUGCUACAAUGGUCGGUACAGAGGGCAGCAAAGCGGCGACGUGGAGCCAAUCCCUUAAAACCGGUCGUAGUCCGGAUUGGAGUCUGCAACUCGA
rnacentral:rRNA from 1 species